AUUGAACGCUGGCGUCAGGCCUAACACAUGCAAGUCGAACGGUAGCACAGAGAGCUUGCUCUCGGGUGACGAGUGGCGGACGGGUGAGUAAUGUCUGGGAAACUGCCCGAUGGAGGGGGAUAACUACUGGAAACGGUAGCUAGUACCGCAUAACGUCGCAAGACCAAAGUGGGGGACCUUCGGGCCUCACACCAUCGGAUGUGCCCAGAUGGGAUUAGCUAGUAGGUGGGGUAAUGGCUCACCUAGGCGACGAUCCCUAGCUGGUCUGAGAGGAUGACCAGCCACACUGGAACUGAGACACGGUCCAGACUCCUACGGGAGGCAGCAGUGGGGAAUAUUGCACAAUGGGCGCAAGCCUGAUGCAGCCAUGCCGCGUGUAUGAAGAAGGCCUUCGGGUUGUAAAGUACUUUCAGCGGGGAGGAAGGCGGUGAAGUUAAUAGCUUCACCGAUUGACGUUACCCGCAGAAGAAGCACCGGCUAACUCCGUGCCAGCCGCCGCUGUAA
rnacentral:rRNA from 1 species